GCACAAUGACAUGUAAAGCAUCUCAGACGCCAGAGGCAGGCAGUCUUGUUAAGACAGCCUCUCUCCCAACACACCUUACAACGUCCAUGAGAUGAAGAAAUCUAAAUCCUGUGUCAUUCCUUCUCAACCUCACAGCAACCUGGGUUCAAGUCCACCAGUCAUCAGACUUUUGUUUGUGGAGAAUCUCCCAAAAAGGAGCUCACUGCCUCCUCACUGCUCUGCCAUGACCCUGGUGUUCACCUUGAUGCUUGAGGUGCUCCUGUUCCUGAGAGGAGCCGGAGCCCAGUCGGUGACCCAGCCUGACGGCCACAUCACUGUCUCUGAAGGAGCCCGUCUGGAGCUGAGGUGCAACUACUCAACUUCUGUUUCGCCCUUUCUCUUCUGGUACGUGCAGUACCCCAAUCAAGGACUCCAGCUUCUCCUGAAGUACACAUCUGGAAACAGCCUUGUCUCAGGUAUCAAAGGUUUUGAGGCUGAAUUUAGGAGCAGUGAGAAGUCCUUCCACCUGAGGAAAACAUCAGCCCAUUGGAAAGACUCGGCCAAGUACUUCUGUGCUCUGAGUGACACAGUGACUAAGACUACAGUGGGAGCUGAACACAAAUCUCCUGAGACUUAGUAGCUUAAAGACUCAGGGUCUCAGCCUAUGUUAUUUUCAGGAUGUUGGCAUGUUCUGUGAAGGCAAACAGUACAGAGAAUACAGAAUCCUGAAAGUGUUUGGUUCCCGUGGGCAUCUUAGAUUUCUUUUCUCUUUCGCAAAGAAAAGACUAUUGUUUUCUUAAUUUCAGUGCUCUCAGUGGUCUUGAGGCUGGUGGGUGGUUUCUUGUCAGUGACACCUGAGAAGGCUGUGCCUAUACUGUACUGUUUUGUUCAGAGUAAGUUUUUAUGUCAUAGAAAGAAAACCCAAUCUUAAUAUUCUUUUUCAAAAUAUAGUUGACAAUUCCAAGGUAUUUGUUCUCACUUACUUAGUUUCGUUCAAACAAAUGGGAUUCUGGUUGGAAUCACAUUGGAAACUGACAUUUUAGGAUAUUAUGUUUUCCUACCCAAGAAUAUUAUAUGCCUCUUCAUUUAUUCAGGUCUUGUUUUAGUCCUUUAAAAGUAAAUUUUGCUUGCUUGUUUCCAGAAAAGUUGGAAAAAAUGAAAUGAAUCAUUGAAUAAGUGGAGAGUUGAUGUCUAGUAUUCUGUGUCUGUUCCUCUCUCUGAACAGGGAAGAGAGCCCACAGAAAGUGGAGCAGCAUCCCCAGUCCACAAGUGCCAGGAGGGAGAGGUUUCUAUUUUUAACACAGUCACACACGCAGCAAAAGUGAGAGUUCCAACCAUUAAGAAGAACAUAUCUCUGUGCAGGUCAUAGGCUCAGACUCCACCUUCUGCUCUGUAAUCAUGGGGACCCCGCCCACGUUCAGUCUGUUCACAACCCCACAGAAGGAGGCACUCACUUUCACACAAAAUGAUGUUUCUCAGAAUUCAUACCUGAGGUUUUUCUGUUUCCUUCUUUCUGCACACUUCGUUAGGCAAUAUAAAAAUAUUUUACGAAUGAUGCUUGUACACAAAGAGCUUACUACCUAACAGUCAUAGGAAUAUCUCUCUCAUUAGACUUAAGCUUUAUGAAGAUAUCAAUUUUUUUUUUACCAAUAAGCAUUCACUGAACAAUGGUUGAAAUAAUGAAUGGCUGAUAAUAUUUAUACCCAUAUAUACAGGCAAAUUUAUAGCCAAUGGUUAGAAUUUGUAUGGAAACUAAUUUCAGCUCCCUAUAAGGAAAAAUGAACAAUUAGAGGCUUUUCGAAACAAAACAGACUGCUUUGAGGUGUAAAAUACUCCUCACUACAGGAACUAGUCAAAGAAAAGUGGAAUGUCCAUUUUCCAGUGAUCUGCAGAAACAAUUACAAAACAG